rnacentral:rRNA from 1 species
CCUACGGGAGGCAGCAGUGGGGAAUUUUCCGCAAUGGGCGAAAGCCUGACGGAGCAAUACCGCGUGAGGGAUGAAGGCUCGUGGGUUGUAAACCUCUUUUCUUAGGGAAGAAGUUCUGACGGUACCUAAGGAAUAAGCAUCGGCUAACUCCGUGCCAGCAGCCGCGGUAAUACGGAGGAUGCAAGCGUUAUCCGGAAUCACUGGGCGUAAAGCGUCUGUAGGUUGCUCAGUAAGUCUGCUGUUAAAGAUUGGAGCUCAACCCCAAAGCAGCAGUGGAAACUGCUAGGCUAGAGUAUGGUAAGGGUAAAGGGAAUUCCCAGUGUAGCGGUGAAAUGCGUAGAUAUUGGGAAGAACACCAGAGGCGAAAGCGCUUUACUAGACCAUUGCUGACACUCAGAGACGAAAGCUAGGGGAGCGAAUGGGA